GCCUUCAUGAUGGAAUUGGUAGACAUGAGGGAUUUAAACUCCCUUGGCUAUUGUAGCUGUGUGGGUUCAAAUCCCACUGGAGGUA
rnacentral:tRNA from 1 species